CUCUGUGACUCCUACGGGAGGCAGCAGUGGGGGAAUAUUGCACAAUGGGCGCAAGCCUGAUGCAGCAACGCCGUGUGAGUGAAGAAGGUUUUCGGAUCGUAAAACUCUGUCCUAAGGGAAGAAACAAAUGACGGUACCUUAGGAGGAAGCCCCGGCUAACUACGUGCCAGCAGCCGCGGUAAUACGUAGGGGGCAAGCGUUAUCCGGAAUCACUGGGCGUAAAGGGUGCGUAGGCGGCUUAGCAAGCCAGGGGUGAAAGGCAUUGGCUCAACCAAUGUAAGCCUUUGGAACUGUUAAGCUUGAGUGCAGGAGAGGUAAGUGGAAUUCCUAGUGUAGAGGUGAAAUUCGUAGAUAUUAGGAGGAACACCAGUGGCGAAGGCGACUUACUGGACUGUAACUGACGCUGAUGCACGAAAGCGUGGGUAGCGAACAGGAUUAGAUACCCUGGUAG
rnacentral:rRNA from 1 species